rfam:Dipodomys ordii ctg_broad_rename0000753, whole genome shotgun sequence.
GGUGGCUCAAUGGUAGAGCACUUGCCUUGCAAGCAUGAGGCCCUGGGUUCUAUUACUCAGCACCA